AUUCAUGUCAUGUGGGUUUGUUUAUAUUUGUGAAGGGACAUAAAGAGACUAAUUUGAAACCAAGUAAAUGAAUAUAUGAUUAUACAACAGAGCAGCUUUAACAUUAUUUACUGUUACAAAUUAAUACGAUGGAUUAUUUUGGUAUUACCACAUGUUGCAAUUUACAGCGGCUACUAUUUCUAUUCUGACUUUACAUGAAGUCAAAACGACUGACAGAUCGAUGAGAUAUUGAGGAAAGUAAGCCAUAUUAAAUCUAGUGAGAAUGAGCAAAGUGUGCUGUGCACAAGUCACUUGUUACACAUAUUGGAAGAAGCAAACAGAAAUCCACUAGUAUUGUAAAAACUGAUGAAUUCCAAUAUUUUCAUGGUGCUUAUUCAGGUUCUGAGAGACUGACAUUCUUUUCAAGUGAUUGGAAUCACAUCACAAUGAAACACAUGGGAACUUCAUGCUGGGAGCAUAAUUCUAUGGAUUGCCUACUUCAACUGUGCUCUGAACCCGGUGA
rnacentral:misc_RNA from 1 species